UACCAUCUCUCCCAGGCUAAAAAUCAGAUGCACUUCUGCUGAAGUCUCUAGCUGGAGGCAGGACUUACACGGACGAGUUGCAACGGGAAGGAGCUCCUAUCAGGCCACUUCAACCAGCCCUGCUAUCAGCAGUAGAGGCAUGAACUCCAAAGAAUCCCUCUACCUCAGUGCCAUCAGCAAGGAGCACAGCAGACCUCCAUCCCAGCUGCUUUCUACUGCCAAAGCCAAAGAUGUUCAGAGCUGUGAUGCCCCAACUGACUGGAGAUCAAAGCCAAAGGCAGCUCCAAAUGGACCAAGACUCAACCGGCGGAUGCCUCCUGCCUCCCCCAUAGUGUUUGACUGCCUCAGAGUGCAUCCUCUCACUCUAUCCCCAGUCCUCACCAGUCCCAAGGAGUGCUGUGCCUAAACCAACCUCCCCUGAAAUGCUAUGCUCUUACUUUGAGUUCCUCAGAUGAUCGUUCUUUUAGCUUUGUUUGCACCUACUGUAUAUAAGAUUUCCAGAUAAUGCCAAGGAUAUCCCGUUGACUUCUGGAAAAAACGAAAGUGACCAUUGUUUGACAGCACAAAAUGCUUCAGCCUCCAUAUCAGACAACUCUUGUUGCUCCAUCAAUGUUGCCCCGAAACCCAGAAGGGAACAGCAGCAGGGUACCUGUGGUUCCUCUGCCCCUCUCCAGCCAUUCAGUCCUGUUGUCUUAUGUUUGGGAGAGACCUGUGGUGUGCAGGGUUCUAAACCUGACUGUUUC